AAAUGAAUAGACGGGGGCCCGCACAAGCGGUGGAGCAUGUGGUUUAAUUCGAUGCAACGCGAAGAACCUUACCAGGUCUUGACAUCCAAAGAACCCGGUGGAAACACUGGGGUGCCUUCGGGAGCUUUGAGACAGGUGGUGCAUGGUUGUCGUCAGCUCGUGUCGUGAGAUGUUGGGUUAAGUCCCGCAACGAGCGCAACCCUUGCUAUUAGUUGCUAACAGGUAGAGCUGAGCACUCUAAUGGGACUGCCCGUGACAAGCGGGAGGAAGGUGGGGAUGACGUCAAAUCAUCAUGCCCUUUAUGAUCUGGGCUACACACGUGCUACAAUGGAUGGUACAGAGAGCAGCGAGACUGUGAAGUGGAGCGAAUCUCAAAAAGCCAUUCUCAGUUCGGAUUGUAGUCUGCAACUCGACUACAUGAAGUCGGAAUCGCUAGUAAUCGCGAAUCAGCAUGUCGCGGUGAAUGCGUUCCCGGGCCUUGUACACACCGCCCGU
rnacentral:rRNA from 1 species